GAGAUACCACUUCAUGGAGAGGUGUCACUGCAAUCAACAGAAAUACCCCAGGGGCAAGGAGAGCUGAUGCUGGGAUGAUAGAACGCUCCGGACACAAUGAAAGUGAAACGAAGAGCAUAUCGGUGGUCUCUUUUCACCAGGAAUUUACCAUCAGUCCUUAGAGAAAAUGUAGAGGGCCCUGUAGGGCUCUAUAUAAUUACCCUCUUCUAGGCUGACUCAACCUUCUGCUAGAUGCUGGGCAAAUUGAUUGCUGAUGUCUCAAAUCUCCAUCCUUCACUGGACAUUGCCCUGGAAAGCAGAGAACUGUAUUGAUCAAUGUUACACCUCUUGUCUGGCUGACGAUGAAAUACAGCAACUUAUUGCCUCCAGCUGGGAUAAUUCUGAAGAGCCAUUGAGUUCUCCAAGUGAUUGACUGAGUCCUCCAUUGUACCGUACUGAUGGUAAACUUCUUCCUCCCUCUGUUCCUAACUUCCACAUUUCCUAAUCAGUGUAGCCACCGAUUGCACUCCCCAAGAAACCUUCCAAAUACAGCUGUCUGUCUCAGAGUCUGUUUCUUGAGAACCCAAUCUAAGAUAGGCAUGCUAGCUUCAGUGAUGGUAAAGGUGACACUGUAUUUGACUUUGGCUGCUUCUCAAGCCAUGAACAAAUACGUGUGUUCUUCUAAACUCAAGGGUCCUGCCAUAUAGGGUCAACUUGGUUUACUCUCUGCUCUCAGUCACUCAUUCUAAGGGAUCUCUUCUAGAUUUGGACUACAAUCUUCAAGUUCAGAGGAUUUUACUAGAAACCCUCAGAGUAAUUCUUACAGAAGAACAUUGUUCUUCAGAUAGCUCUUCAGAGUUUCUAGGCUGGAUCUAAUUUUAAAAAAAUCGUCUUCAAGUAUUGCCUUAAAUUUUGCUUUAGGUUUGUUCCAGAACAACAUGAACCCCAAGAUUUCUCGUGAAGUUCCCAAUACUUUCUUACAUUUUAGGU
rnacentral:lncRNA from 1 species